rnacentral:lncRNA from 1 species
CUUGAACUAGUUUGUGGCAUAUCUUCAGGGGGUCCAAAUCGGAAUCUAGGAACUCCAGCUACCUGAGGGGAAUGAAUUGCUUCAGCAAAUCCAUCUGUACGAUGUGGAACUACUAGAGUUGGUGUGCUUGGAACUGUUCUGUCCUCAUCAUCAAAGAAGUGCUGCAUCCCACCUAUACCAGGAGUUAGCUGAAGUCCACGUCCCACUGACUGUCUUCGAGUCAUCUGGAUUCUCUGCACUGGGGGACCUAGUUCUUGAGGAGGAGCAUGAAUAGUUAAUCGCGGAGGCAAUGGAUGUGGUGGCCUGCGUGGUGACUGUGGUGGUCGAGGGGCCUGUCUCUCUGAGGCAGAUGAUGGCUGCUGUUCUCUAGAACUUUCAUGAGGGAAAGUGGACUCUGCAGUACUUGUACUUCCUUCACAGCUGUUUUGAGAAUCUGCUGCCCUCUGGUUGCUUUCACCUCCUCCCAAGCUUUCCUCAGUUUCUGUUCCAGGAUCAGUACCAUCAGCACCCUCAGCAUCAUCUGCUUCAUACCCAUCAUUACCAUCAGCACUACCAGUUCCUUCAUUACUAUCAUCACCUUCAUCUCCCAUCCCUGUGUCUUCAUCAUCAUCUUCAUCUUCCUCUUCCUCGUCUUCAUAAUCUUCCUGCUCGCCUUCAUUUUCAUCAUCAUCAUCAUCUUCAUCAUCACUAUCAAUAACAAUGACAUCGUCUCUCUUGGACUGACCAUCCUGAGAUGAAGUAGUAUUUUGUUGAUCUGACUGAAGAGGCCCAAGAUCUAUUGGGAUAGACUGAGAAGUUUCUUCACUAUCCUCCAUGGGAGUGUACUCUCCCUGUGUAACACCUUCUCCAAUAGAGUCCUGUGAAUCUUGAUUGUAUGUCUGAGCUUCUACUUCACCAUCAGUGCUUUCUUCUGCUGUAACUUCCUCCUCAAGUCCAACCCUCUGUAUGCUUCUCAUUUUCUUUGGGAGAGGUACAUCCACUGUUUCUUCUGAAAUUUGGUCCGAGUUUUCCACAGUGUUAUCCUCCUCUUCCUCUCGUGGACGUUUAGACAGUGAAGAACUUGGGGUGGCUGAAACUGUGCCAAACACUGCUGUAGAAGUGGAUGGCCUCUCUAUUUGAGAGCUC